CCUGGUUGAUCCUGCCAGUAGUCAUAUGCUUGUCUCAAAGAUUAAGCCAUGCAUGUCUAAGUACAAGCCUCACUAAGGUGAAACCGCGAAUGGCUCAUUAAAUCACACCUAAUCUACUGGAUAGUAAAAAGUUACUUGGAUAACUGCGGUAAUUCUGGAGCUAAUACAUGCACAAAGCCGCGACUCACGAAGCGGCGCUUUUAUUAGAUCAAAACCAAACGGCUUCGGCUGUACUCAUGGUGACUCUGAAUAACUUUGGGCUGAUCGCAUAGCCUUGAGCUGGCGACAUAUCCUUCGAAGGUGUGCCCUAUCAACUUUCGACUGUGGCAUAGACGCCCACAGUGGUUUUGACGGGUAACGGGGAAUCAGGGUUCGAUUCCGGAGAGGGAGCCUUAAAAACGGCUACCACAUCUAAGGAAGGCAGCAGGCACGCAAAUUACCCAAUGACCGAAGGUCGAGGUAGUGACGAAAAAUAACGAUAGAGGACUCAUCCGAGGCCCUCUAAUUGGAAUGAGUACACUUUAAAACCGUCCCCGAGGAUCUAUUGGAGGGCAAGUCUGGUGCCAGCAGCCGCGGUAAUUCCAGCUCCAAUAGCGUAUAUUAAAGUUGUUGUGGUUAAAAAGCUCGUAGUUGGAUCUCGGCGGUCUGAGGGCGGUUCGCUUCAGAGCGCUACUGCCCUAUAGACCGUAGUUUUGCCAGAGGUCUCAGGGUGCUCUUAACCGAGUGUCUUGCGAUGCUGGCAGGUUUACUUUGAAAAAAUUAGAGUGCUCAAAGCAGGCUUUUACGCCUGAAUAUUCGUGCAUGGAAUAAUAGAAUAGGAAGUCGUUUCUAUUUUGUUGGUUUUCGGAAAUCGACUUAAUGAUUAAUAGGGACAGUCGGGGGCAUUUGUAUUCAAACGACAGAGGUGAAAUUCUUGGACCGUUUGAAGACAAACUACUGCGAAAGCAUUUGCCAAGAAUGUUUUCAUUAAUCAAGAACGAAAGUUAGAGGUUCGAAGGCGAUUAGAUACCGCCCUAGUUCUAACCAUAAACGAUGCCAGCUAGCGAUCUGCCGACGUUUUUUUUGUAGACUCGGCAGGAAGCUUCCGGGAAACCAAAGCAUUUGGGUUCCAGGGGAAGUAUGGUUGCAAAGCUGAAACUUAAAGGAAUUGACGGAAGGGCACCACCAGGAGUGGAGCCUGCGGC
rnacentral:rRNA from 1 species